rnacentral:lncRNA from 1 species
GGAAAGGGAGGAAAGGACCAGAAUGUGCAGACCUCUCUAGAGGACUUCUCAAGAGUAGGGAAAAGUAGGACAACAAGAGGAUCAUGUCUGCAUCUUAAAAGAUCCCUUUCUGUAGACAAUGGACUGAAGGGGGUGACCAGUCAGGAGGCAGUUGCUGCAUUGCAAGAUGAAAUGCUGGAAGGUGGUAGGGAUUGAUGCAGACCUCCUUCUGCUUGGAACCAAAAGGAAACUCACAGCAUUCCAGUGGUUUUAGUUCAUGGUGGCUCUGAAGAUCGGGCCAGCGCCACACACGGCAGUAAAUGACAUGAGGCAGUCCCUUCCGGUGGGAGACUUGCAGCCUGCCAUCCAGAGAGCGGGGAAUGGUGACACAGUUACUCGGUUGCCCUGGGCAGCUCAAGGCCUUUUCCAGUUCCUCCAUGGCACCUUUCUUUUUCUUCAGUUUUUUCACCAAAGCAUCAACAGCUUUCUCUGCCCAUUUUUCUUCUUCAUCGCCCUGUUUCCACCCAAGAAGUCUCUUCACAGCUGGACUUGUAAAGGAAAAUAAACUUGUCACAUUCAUAAUGACAGCACUAGUUAUACUCCUUGGAUAUGGUGAA